rnacentral:sRNA from 1 species
AAGAGCUUUGAUAAUAACACCGCACCGC